GUCUAUGGUGAUGCCACCCUGAACAAGCCCCAUCCUGUCUGAUCUCGGAAGCUAAGCAGGGUGGGGCCUGGUUAGUACUUGGAGACGAGACCACCCAGGAAGACCAGGUGCUGUAGGUG
rnacentral:rRNA from 1 species